UACGUGCCAGCAGCCGCGGUAAUACGUAGGGUCCGAGCGUUGUCUGGAAUUAUUGGGCGUAAAGAGCUCGUAGGCGGUUCGUCGCGUCUGCCGUGAAAUCCUCAGGCUCAACUUGAGGCGUGCGGUGGGUACGGGCGGGCUAGAGUGCGGUAGGGGAGAAUGGAACUCCUGGUGUAGCGGUGGAAUGCGCAGAUAUCAGGAAGAACACCGAUGGCGAAGGCAGUUCUCUGGGCCGUAACUGACGCUGAGGAGCGAAAGCGUGGGGAGCGAACAGGAUUAGAUACCCUGGUAGUCCACGCCGUAAACGUUGGGCGCUAGAUGUGGGGACCAUUCCACGGUUUCCGUGUCGUAGCUAACGCAUUAAGCGCCCCGCCUGGGGAGUACGGCCGCAAGGCUAAAACUCAAAGGAAUUGACGGGGGCCCGCACAAGCGGCGGAGCAUGCGGAUUAAUUCGAUGCAACGCGAAGAACCUUACCAAGGCUUGACAUAUACCGGUAACGGCUAGAGAUGGUCGCCCCCUUGUGGUCGGUAUACAGGUGGUGCAUGGUUGUCGUCAGCUCGUGUCGUGAGAUGUUGGGUUAAGUCCCGCAACGAGCGCAACCCUCGUUCUAUGUUGCCAGCGGUUCGGCCGGGGACUCAUAGGAGACUGCCGGGGUCAACUCGGAGGAAGGUGGGGAUGACGUCAAAUCAUCAUGCCCCUUAUGUCUUGGGCUUCACGCAUGCUACAAUGGCCGGUACAAAGGGCUGCGAUGUCGUAAGGCGGAGCGAAUCCCAAAAAGCCGGUCUCAGUUCGGAUUGAGGUCUGCAACUCGACCUCAUGAAGUCGGAGUCGCUAGUAAUCGCAGAUCAGCAACGCUGCGGUGAAUACGUUCCCGGGCCUUGUACACACCGCCCGUCAAGUCAUGAAAGUCGGUAACACC
rnacentral:rRNA from 1 species